rnacentral:lncRNA from 1 species
UAAUCAUCAAUAAAAAUCAUAAUCAUUAGAUACAUCCAUCAAUUUUGCACAUCCAAAGCAUCAGAAACAAUCUACAUAACAGUUCUCAGCUUACAAGGAUAACCAUCAGUUUUGCAUACCCAAAGAAUUACAAGGAAAGUACAUCACAGUUCAUCUAAAGUCUUGCAACUACCAAAAUGCUACCUUGUUGCAAACACCACCUUUAGUUCUAAAGUCUUGCAACUAGCAAAAUGCUGCUUUGUUGCCAACACCAACAUUAGUUCUAAAGUCUGGCUCCAAGUCAACAAAAGGCACUACCAAGGUUACAACCACCAUCUAUGAUUCUAGGUCUCAGUUUCACGAAUGUUGGAACUAGUGUCGCCACCACCGGCACUAACGUUGUUGUCACUGGUAUUCCCACUGGAGUUGUCAGCACCACCAUUUGCACCCAGAUCAUCAUCACCAGUGUUGUUAUCGGAGGUUUGGGGUCUCAUAUGAGAUGAAUUAGGUGUCCCCUACAUCAUAGCAUUAAUUUAGACACACCAGGAGAGCUUAUGGAGUAUUUUCUUUUAAAAGAAAAUUAGCAAAAUAAGUAGUAGUUAACUGUACAAUAAACUGGAUAUGUUCCUCAGUUGGUAAAGGAAUUGUUGAGACUGAAAAUAUACAAUAUUCUAAGUAUAUAUCUAGAUAUGAGGAUGUACAGUCAUGUAGCACAGGAAUGGCACAAAGGUUAAAAUUAUUUCUUUAAAAUCUUCUCAUGGACUGGAUUGGCAUUGUAGCUUAGGGUUGCGUGUCAGUUUAAUAUAAUAUAAAAAAAUUAAUCCUGAGCAGGCCUAGUACAAGAAUAAUUUUUGCUGAUGGUUAAGAAAAUCGGGUUUGCACAACAUUAACUUGGCAUAGAACCUCAAGAAAAUCGGGUUUACACAGCAUUAACUUGGCACAACAUUAAAUGGAUCCAACCACGCUGAGUGUAAGUUUGGGUGCACCAUGGUCCAGAAAAUCAUGUGUGUAUAGAUAUUCCAAUGAUUAAGAUACGAAGCUUUAAGAUAUCAAUGUUGCAAUUGGGAAAUGUAGUAUGCCGAGAAGGCUAUGUGCAAAAACUUACAUGUGGUUGGGAACUCGCUCCUUGGUGUAGCUCCGUUGGUAGUUCUUUUCCCAUCUCCUUAAAAAGGGCCUAUGAAAAAAAUAUGCAUCAUUAGAAUAGCUAGUUUUUUCAAUCACCAAUCUGAAAUAUGUGGACAAAUUUGAAAGUAACACUAGGAUCCGUUCAUGCAUAUCCACUUUAUGUUGCAGGUUCUCAUUAUGUCGCUGCAGGUUCUCAUUAUGUCGCUUCAGCUCUUCAUUUUCUUGAACAGUUCGUCGAUGUGCUGCUGAAGUUGACGGCCUCAAUUUCUUUUCUCUAGCUAUUGAGAUAACAUCAGCCUUCUUAAUCGCCCCAUCUGCUAUUGCUAGUCGCCCAUGGGGAAUGCCACCUGAUGAUUCAUAUAAUAUUUGCCCAUCCAACUCUCGCUGCUCCCAUUCAUCAGGAUGUGCGGCUCUAGCCAAAUCAGAGUAAUCAUCCUAGAAAACUAGCAAUAUUAACUUGUAUAGAUGCAUAUAGAACAAGUACUUAGUGAAAAGAAGAUAAGAAAGAACGUACAAAGCAUUUUUUGCCUUCCCGCUGAGGGUCGUGCUGGUGCUACCACUGCCAUCCCAAUUCUUGAGUCCAGAUUUCAUUGCAGCAUAUGUAUUCAGCGUGGUAGCCUUCUCAGGUCCAUAUUUCUCAGCCUUCAAAACCGUAAAAAUUAAAUUAGUCCUAACCUGUUACAGUUUAUGAAAGAUAACAUACAUGCUUGACGCACCAGAAUUUGUCGAGCCUCCACAAAUGGAAGCGAACCUCCCCGAUUUUGAGCAACACCUUCACUCUUGAAUCGGGAUUCCUGCCCUCCCUUCCUGAAGGACUUGAACGUCUUUGAGCACCAAUAAGCACAAAGAUGAGGCCAUGCAUGUUCCUUAAACCAUGUUAUUCUGCAUUCCAAGUAUUUGGCAUAUUCAAGUUCUUUUGAACAUGCCGAUAUCAUCUAUUUGAUUUUUUAAUCUCAACACAUCAUACUUAAGAUGAGUUAUUCAGCAGCAGCAAUACAUGUGUAGCAAUUGGAAUCAAAUAGAUGUACACAUAAGAUAAACAUUUAAAGCUGAAAGUUAAAUGCUUACCAAAGGCUUGCUGAAAUAGUGAAAAAGUGUGGAGUCACCAAGCUGUCUAACAAACUCCCAAAGUCCACUAGCAGAUCCAAGAUCUAAGCCUAUUAUAGACAACAUAGCAAUUUAAGAGAAUUAGAAUAAGGAUGGUAGGAAAUGAAAAGGAAUUAUGCUCAAACAACAAUGGUAACAAAAAAAUGUUGAAAACUUUGGUAAGCAUUAUAUUACAAAGAAACAAGAUAUGCAGUACUAUACAAUAUCCAUAACCAGAAAACAAGACAUGCAUAGGCUAUAUUUGAAAAAUCAGUCAAUUACUCAAGCAUGCAGUAACUAAAUACAAUGGCAAGGAAGAAAAGGUAAAAUAAUGAAAGAACAAGCUGCCUAUCAACAAAUUGAAAUAAUGAAUCGAACUGGUCAUUUCAUUUUACUUCCCAAGUGAAUUAGUACUAACUGUAUCAGUGCUAAAGUUGGAAGCUUGUGAUGUCAAUCUGUUGUAUUUCUUCAGAAAAGUAUUUUUUUACCUACAUGACCAAGCUAAGGCUAUUUUGCAAAAAUCUGCGAUGUCAGUUGACACCACAAAGAUGUGUGUAGCCUCACCACUGCUACUGGAUUUCUGUCCUUGACAAAUCUACUACUGAUUUAUAGCAGUAGGAUGUGAACCAGAGAGAUCUACUAGCACAAGACAAGAGAAUGUAUAGUUGAGGAAGGGGGCAGAAUGAAUUAUGUACUGAGUUAAUAGCCAGCCAGUAGAGUGGAAACGCCCUGUGCUGGAUCCAAGCGAGCCUCACCACUUCCUACACUAGGCAGAGGAUGAGAUGACUGAAAAAGGACACAUACAAAUCCAAUGAGG